GGAGCCUCUGCUCCUCUUCCCUGCCUCGGAUCAGCCUGGAGCAGGAGCCUGGCAUCACCUGGGACCCCAGGUGGGCUCACCUGGGCCUCCCCAGGGACCUCUGCCAGCUGGAGCAGCUCCUGCCCUGCCCUGCAGGGCCCUGGGUGAAGGGGCCACGGCCAAGAAGGGAUUUUUGAUGGAUGGAUUGGUGCAGUCUCCUGGGGAUGGAGCCCUGGUUGUGGCCUGGCAGUGCCUGGAGCUGAGGAGUGCUGGAUAACCCCAGAGCUUGUGCAGCCAGGCUGCUGCAGUGCCUGACAGCAAAGUCCCCGGGACAGACCCUGACCCUCUGAGAGGAGGAGAGAGGAGGACUCAGCCCACCUGCCCCAGCUCCCCUGCCUGGUGCCAGCUGACCUGCUGGGGUCCCGGAGGAGCUGCAGCUGAAGGCAGGAAUGCCACAGGAUGCCUGGUGCCACUGCCUCGGAGCAGAGGAGCAACAGGAGGAGAGGAA